UACGUAGGGGGCAAGCGUUGUCCGGAAUUAUUGGGCGUAAAGCGCUCGUAGGCGGAUCGGUAAGUCUGUGAAGAAAGACCCGGGCUCAACUCGGGGAACGGCAUAGAUACUGCUGAUCUUGAGACAGUCAGAGGAUGAUGGAAUUCCUGGUGUAGCGGUGGAAUGCGCAGAUAUCAGGAGGAACACCGGUGGCGAAGGCGGGUCUCUGGGCAGUAACUGACGCUGAGGAGCGAAAGCGUGGGGAGCGAACAGG
rnacentral:rRNA from 1 species